GUUGGUGUUGAUGACGGCGAGGGUCCACCCGUUCCCAUUCCGAACACGGAAGUUAAGCUCGCACGUGCUGACGAUACUUGGCUGGCGACGGCCCGGGACAAUAGGAGGAUGCCAACA
rnacentral:rRNA from 1 species